AGUCUCAGAGCCAAGGUCACACCGCCCUACACCUUGCUGUCCCCACAGCAUCUGCAGGAGGAGCAUGCCAGGACCAGAGACCCAGGGAGCAGCCUCACCAGAGGGAAAAGAGCCUGUAGAGUGGUGAGCUCAGACAGGGCCUCACUCUGUCCCCCAGGCCGGAGUGCAGUGACAUGAUACGGCCCUCCCCAGCCUCUACCUCCUGGGCUCAAGAGAUCCUCCUGCCGCGGACUUCCUGGUAGCUGGGAUGAGGGGUAACGGGAAUGGCAGGACUGUGGUUGAGCUUUGGGAGCCCGGGAAGGAAGGAUACUGGAGCUGGGCUGAUCCAGGACAGCUUCCUGGAGGAGGCGGGAUUUAAACUGGUCAAUGAGCCACUACACACAACUGGAACUCCUAAAUACUGUCCUGAGUGAAGCCACCGAGUGGGACUCGUUUUCCUAAACCCAAACCACCAGAUGCAAGGGCUGAGCUCCACGAUGGUUCCUGCCACAUCUCAUCCCUGGGACUCAGCCCAUUCCUCUCUCUGGAUCCUCUCUAUCAUGUGCUGUAUUGAGUAGCCCCGUCACCUCAUCAUUCACAGAUGUGGAGAACAUUCUUUCUAUAUCUUCCUCCACACGCUGAUAAAACUGUUGUACAGGGCUGGGCUGAGAAGCAGAGACCAGAACCAUCCCUCUAGAAACCAUCCUCAGAUCAGUUCUCAAAGUCUCUGGGAUUGGCACAACUUUGCAUUCUUAAAAACUACUGAGGACU
rnacentral:lncRNA from 10 species